AUGUAAACAAAGGCAUGCCCCUACUUCAGAAAAUAUCCAGUUAUUAUUUUAAUAAUUGCGAAUAAGCCACAAACUUGCUUAUUCCUACCUAAAAUAGUAAAUAGAGAUAAUAACAAACGGAUUAUUUGUAAAAUUAAAUUUUUUUUUGCGUUUUUGCUAAUGUAUGCGUUUAUAAACAGGAUGGUAGACCACACACUAUAAUAGUACCAACUAAUGAAUACACAGUAUGAAUAGUAUAGUCGGUUCGCUAAACUUAGUCUCAGACACAACUGGCUAGUGAUUUUAGUAAAUAAUUUUGACAAUUUCGUAAAAUUGGCAAAAAAAUAAUAACUAAAUAGUUAGUAAUUUUGGCAAAAAUGGCCAAAAACAAAAAAAUUACCUACUAAAAUCACUAGCCAGUUGUGGCUAGGGAAACGACUAUACUAAUAAACAAUUUCUAAGCUGCUUUUUAUAAUAUUUUGUGAGUUCAUUAAUCAUAUUUUUUAUUUAAAACUAAAAUUUGUUAAUAAUGCUCAGUAAUGCAUAUAUUUUGUAUUUUUAGCUUUCCAGAAGAUCCUGCGAAGAAGGCAUGAAGUAUUGAUCAGAUUUGUUAAUAGAGCAGUAUGUUCAAAACAUUUUUUAGAAAAAGAUAUUGACAGAACUUCACUUUCAACUGUUCGUUUGAGAGACUGUGCUGUUCCAAUAGCUUAUAUCACACAGAAUCAGCUGAGAGAAGUGGUCUACAAAAAACCAGGAAGGAAAUGGAAUAUGUGGCUAUGAAAGGCAAAAGAAAGGUUUACAAAGCAAAUGUGACACAUUUUUUUAUAGGAAUAUCAGUAAAUUACAUUAAAAAAAUGUAUGAAAAGAUUUUUUGCAAUAAAAAUGUUUAUAUUUA
rnacentral:lncRNA from 1 species